UACAGAGGUCUCAAGCGUUGUUCGGAUUCAUUGGGCGUAAAGGGUGCGUAGGUGGCAAGGUAAGUCGGGUGUGAAAUCCCGGGGCUCAACCCUGGAACUGCACUCGAUACUGCCAUGCUCGAGUACUGGAGAGGAGACUGGAAUUUACGGUGUAGCAGUGAAAUGCGUAGAUAUCGUAAGGAAGACCAGUGGCGAAGGCGAGUCUCUGGACAGUUACUGACACUGAGGCACGAAGGCCAGGGGAGCAAACGGG
rnacentral:rRNA from 3 species